UUCAAAUUCAAUAGAAACUCAUUUUAUACAACAACAUCACCAGCAACGUGUAGUAGAAAACCGACUCGACCGCAGAACAUACGUGUUCUUCUUCUCUUCCAGCAGUUCAACGCGAAGAAAAUCCAAAAAACGAAUCCAGUCCAGCAGGGACUCAGCCCAGGAUCGCGAGGCCUAGUUCGCUGCCUCGUCCUCUCUUACUCUCGUGCGUCGUCCUCUUCUCUUGUAAAAAGAACAAUUAAGAGAAUCCGUCCAGGUGGCUCCAUCUCCUUCCAUGUUCGUCCUUUUCCCUUAAUUGGACAGCUUUCCUUUGACCUUCGUUGGAAAUUUGUAGUCAUUCCAGCUGCACACCUUAUCUCUUAAGGGGAAUUCGAAUUUUGAAUUCAAAAAUUACUCCUACUCCUCACCCGAUUUCCCCUCAUUUUAAACCUAGUUCUUCUCCUAUAAAUAGUCGACUCUUCUUCUUUGAGUGGGCGGGAGAAAAAGCUGAAAUAAAAUAGAAUAAUAAAGUUGGAAAAAACAGAGGAAGGAACAACUUGCAUUGGGAGAAAAUAUUGGGAGAGAUAUUUAGUUGGACGAGUCAAGAAAAGGUUUUGUUCUUCUUUUUCGGACGCGAUUGUUUAUUGGAAUCUUUCGGAGUCGUCAGAAGUCGCUGCCCUCCAAGCUCGUCAGUUGUCUCAGUUCUGCUGUCCGAAAAAAGGUUAUUAUUGUGCCUCCACAUGAAAAUAAAUAGCGUGUUUGAGAUCGUGCUUUAUGCGGAUCAGAUAUAUAUUUUGCAUCUGCAUAAACAAUCAAUUUUGUCUUGGAUUCCUCGGAAUUGGAUAAACCCACAACUAUGGUCCUUUGAGGAUAUUCAAUCAUGUGCUCAACACUAUUUCAAUGUCCUUUUAUCGGCGAGAAAUUGAAUCUUGCUAGUAAAUUUACUGCAAAACAAAUAUCUGGUCAAAUAUUGUUAGUAAGAUCCACUAGUGCCCUGAUUGCACCAAGAUAUAGAGUUUCAUUACAAAUAAAUCUUCAUCCUUCUUUUGA